rnacentral:rRNA from 1 species
UACGUAGGGGGCAAGCGUUGUCCGGAUUUAUUGGGCGUAAAGAGCGUGUAGGCGGUUUGGUAGGUCCGCUGUGAAAACUCGAGGCUCAACCUCGAGACGCCGGUGGAAACCAUCAGACUAGAGUCCGGAAGAGGAGAGUGGAAUUCCUGGUGUAGCGGUGAAAUGCGCAGAUAUCAGGAAGAACACCCGUGGCUAAGGCGGCUCUCUGGAACGCAACUGACGCUGAGACGCGAAAGCGUGGGGAGCAAACAGG